ACGAACGCUGGCGGCGUGCCUAAUACAUGCAAGUCGAACGGUCUUUCUAUGGAAGCUUGCUUCCACUGAGAAGAUAGUGGCGAACGGGUGAGUAACAACGUGGGUAACCUGCCCAUAAGAGGGGGAUAACAUCCGGAAACGGGUGCUAAUACCGCAUAGUUUUCUUGAUCGCAUGAUUGAGAAAGGAAAGACGGCCUUUGUGCUGUCGCUUAUGGAUGGACCCGCGGCGUAUUAGUUAGUUGGUGAGGUAACGGCUCACCAAGACGAUGAUACGUAGCCGACCUGAGAGGGUGAUCGGCCACAUUGGGACUGAGACACGGCCCAAACUCCUACGGGAGGCAGCAGUAGGGAAUCUUCCGCAAUGGACGAAAGUCUGACGGAGCAACGCCGCGUGAGUGAAGAAAGGUUUUCGGAUCGUAAAACUCUGUUGUCAGAGAAGGACAAGUUGGAGAGUAACUGCUCCAGCCUUGACGGUAUCUGACCAGAAAGCCACGGCUAACUACGUGCCAGCAGCGGC
rnacentral:rRNA from 1 species